rnacentral:lncRNA from 1 species
AAGCUCUGCCCGUCACCUUUACUGUGUUUUCUCAAAACACAAGUUGUGAAUCUGGUGGUGUGUGAAUUUGCCCAAGUUUCCAUCUCGCUCGUUGAGAAUCCAUGAAACUCUCUGUAUUCUGAAACACAAGUCGUGCCAAAAGCUCAACCUUAGUUUCCGCCAAGCUCUGCCUGUCGCCUUUACUGUGUUUUCUCAAAACACAAGUUGUGAAUCUGGUGGUGUGUGAAUUUGCCCAAGUUUCCAUCUCGCUCGUUGAGAAUCCGUGGUAUGCCCCCUCUUUCAAAUUGCUCUUUUCGCUGAUUGCUUCGCUUAUUCGAGUUCUUCGAUCUUCUUUUUCUUCUCUAACAUAAAAAAUUUGGUAAGGUUUCAUAUUUUGGUAUUUUUUUCUUUUAAAAAAUCAGUGAAAAGAUUAUUGGAUUGGGAUUCCUAAUUUGAUAAUUUAAUUUUCUGAAGUUUAUAUAAAAUUGCGAUUCAGUAUCCUCAGCGGCAGAUUUUAAUUACCUUCUUUUGCUUCAUUGAUGUGUGUUUCUGCCUUCGCCAUGGGUUAACUAAUCCCUGUAACUAGCAGUCUUGUUUGUGUGCUAUAGAAGAGUGCUGAAAGCACAUUCUUGAAUUGCUAAUUGUGUUUAGUGAAAAGCUGGUACAUAAGUUGAGAUGAAAAGCUCAGACAGAGAACUCUUAUUAAUCGCAAUGAAUGAGAUGAAAACCUGGUACAUAAGUUGAACAUUAGGUGUUUAGUUAUAUAGGUGUCUUGUAGAAAAAUAUUGUGUAAAAUAUCUUUGUUCAUUACUUGGAUUGAGUGGCAAUUUCAAAUUACUACAAUUUUGGUGUUCUGGACUAGUGGAUUCCAUACGCAUUUGUUGUGAUCAAACGGCUAUUAGAUAUCUGACUCCUAUGUUUUUUUUUCGAGUUUAGUACUUUGUUUGCUUGGACAGUUGCAAUCCUAGUUGUAUAUCUCAAUAUUUUAUGUUGCACUUUUGUUUGUUUGGAUGCGUUCUAAUUUGCUAUGACAUUGCUGAGUACAAUGGUUAGGACACUUUAUCCAUAUUGGUCCAAAAUAUCUGAUCUUUUUUCUUAAAUAGCAAAAUUGUUUUUGCUCAGGCAAUAUUUUAUUGUUGUGAUAUCUCAAGUUUGAUUUUACAUGUAUUCUUCUAAUUGUUUUACUUUAGAAUAUUUAAUUGUAUCAUCAAAUGUUUUUAUAUCAAACACUGGAGUACAAAUAAAAUUAGGCCAAGGUAGGGUAAUCUUAAAAAGACAACGAGAAAGAAUUUAGCUUAAGAUAUGUUGUAUUUCAUGAAUGAGAAUAUGUAAUAGCUUAUUAAUUGACCUACAAUUGAGAAGUAGGUGAUGUUUUAAUGGCAAGAGUGAUUUUCAUGUAUUAUACUAUGUGAUAUUGAAUGGUUGUUUUAAAUUGUCCAUUUGUCUCUGGUGUGAUGUGAAUAACCAUGUAAAGGUAUGCAACAGUUUAGUAUCAAGCCAUGAACAUUCCUUAGCAUGUUGAGUCUAUUUUAAGGAUCUCUACCCUCCCUUAAAUGCAUUUUGAUCAACCAAAUUAGAAAGACGAGGGUUAUAGAUCAGUAGAGUCCAAUUACAUCGACCUGAAUUUUGAUCUAAGCACACUAAUUUGAUGUGGAAUGAAUCAGAUUGAGGUCCUGUAUUUGUACACCACUCAAAUGAAAGAAGAGAGGAUUUACUUCAUAAAAUCCUGACAUUGGAACACACUUUCUAGAAAUAGUUGGAGAGCUCUAAGAACAUUGUUACCUUUAUGGUGAAAAUGGAGUAAUUUGUAGUGACCAUUUUUCUGGCAUCACCACUAUUUGUCUCUGGUAUGUAGUGAAUAAUUGUGUAAAGGUAUUCAAUAGUUUAGUAUCAAACCAUUAAAAAUAACUACUCUAGGGACAUUUCUUAGCAUCUUGAGACUAUUCUUUCUCCAUUUCAUACCAACUCUUGAGAAUCCAGUUAUGUGCAUUUGAUCGUAACAAGUAGUGUGUAUCGUAGUAUUUUUCUUAUCUUUUAUCUUUAUUUAAUUUAACUUUUAUUUACUCUCCAAGGUUAUGGCACCUAGUAAGCAAUGGAUGCAACUUGUUGAUAAUCGGC